rnacentral:misc_RNA from 1 species
GCAAACUCUGCCCCAUAUAAAAAAAAAUAUAUAUGUGUUGCUAAAAUUUCUCAUUCAUAGAAAAAUUAUGGUGUUCUUGUUAAGCAAGCAUAUCCUGAUAAUAACAGCAAUAAUUUGUUUCAUCGAACUUAAAAGCAAUGGUCAAUUUCCAAGAAUGAGGCCAGUGAUAAAAUUAGACUGUCCACCACAUAAGGACUUGAAUAUCAGCUAUGAUGAUGAUGCUAGAUUGCUAAUGAUGUUUAAGAAUUUGCUUCAAUUCUAUACAAAGAAUAAUUUUAUUAGUUUGUAAUUAUCUGAUAUAAAUGUAUCUAACCCACUAAGAUAAAGUAGAAAAUCAGCUCAGGUAUUUGCCAACCUGAACUAUCAGAUCUUUCAGAAG